GAUGAAGAACGUAGCGAAAUGCGAUAAGUAAUGUGAAUUGCAGAAUUCAGUGAAUCAUCGAAUCUUUGAACGCACAUUGCGCCCGCCAGUAUUCUGGCGGGCAUGCCUGUCUGAGCGUCAUUUCAACCCUCAUGCCCCUAGGGCGUGGUGUUGGGGAUCGGCCAAAGCCCGCGAGGGACGGCCGGACCUAAAUCUAGUGGCGGACCCGUCGUGGCCUCCUCUGCGAAGUAGUGAUAUUCCGCAUCGGAGAGCGAUGAGCCCCUGCCGUUAAACCCCCAACUUUCCAAGGUUGACCUCAGAUCAGGUAGGAAUACCCGCUGAACUUAAGCAUAUCAAUAAGCGGAGGA
rnacentral:misc_RNA from 1 species